CUCUCUGUAAUUUGAGAAUAAUUAAUUAAAUUUUUUUUAAAUAGUUAGAGAGUUAAAAUAUGCUAAUUAAAAAUUACUUACCAUCUACUCCAUAUGACGAGCAAACGACCUCGAACCCCCAUAAUGCAAUACGAUCUGUCUCGUCCGACUCGCGAUGUUCUAGAUACAUCGUCUCUGUACAGUUAGUAGUCAAAUUAGUAGAUAACAAAUUGAAUUUAAGAACAAAUGAUUCAAUCAUUAAACUCUAAAAAAAAAAUUUGAAUAUGUAAUUUGAUAUGCC
rnacentral:lncRNA from 1 species